UACGUAGGGUGCAAGCGUUGUCCGGAAUUAUUGGGCGUAAAGCGCACGUAGGCGGACCAGCAAGUUAGGGGUGAAAUCCCGGGGCUCAACCCCGGAACUGCCUUUAAAACUGUUGGUCUGGAGGUCGAGAGAGGUGAGUGGAAUUCCGAGUGUAGAGGUGAAAUUCGUAGAUAUUCGGAGGAACACCAGUGGCGAAGGCGGCUCACUGGCUCGAUACUGACGCUGAGGUGCGAAAGCGUGGGGAGCAAACAGG
rnacentral:rRNA from 1 species